UACGGAGGGUGCAAACGUUGCUCGGAAUCAUUGGGCGUAAAGCGCACGUAGGCGGUCUGUUAAGUCGGAUGUGAAAGCCCCGGGCUCAACCCGGGAAGUGCAUACGAAACUGGCGGACUUGAAUAUGGAAGAGGGUCGCGGAAUUCCCGGUGUAGAGGUGGAAAUUCGUAGAUAUCGGGAGGAACACCAGUGGCGAAGGCGGCGACCUGGGCCAAAUAUUGACGCUAAUGUGCGAAAGCGUGGGGA
rnacentral:rRNA from 1 species